rnacentral:rRNA from 1 species
AUGUUGCGGGUUCGAACACCAGUGCCUGGCGCAUUUUUUCCUUUUUUUUUUCAAUAUCCCACUGACAUAUGGGUUCAACCUGACGAGCGGGGCCAAUCUGACGUGGCAUACGGCGGAAUACAACAGUUUGCACUGACUAAAUCAUCGAUCCGGUUCAUGCUUUCUUUCUACUCCGGGAUAUUCCUUGAUUACAUGGCAACAGUAUUAGCAGUCAGUGUUGUAGGAUGGGUUGUUUCUCCUAUUAUUACAAGGAUGCUUUCUUUGGUGCUGUCCUAUAUGUCAAGCCAGUAUAAUUGGAAAUCUGGGAUAUCAUCUGAUCUCAAGAAUUUGGAGGCCACUUUAAUGGAUAUACUCCUCGUAGUUGGAGCAGCUGAAAGGCAACAUGUAGUAGACACCAAUCAGAUAUUGUUAUUGCAACAAAUGAAAGACGCAGUCUCUGAUGCAGACGAUGUCUUGGAUGAGUUUGAUUAUAUGCUUUUAAAAGAGAAGGCUGAGAAAAAUGACCUGCGCAGCCGCAUAGCCUCCUCUUCCCUCUCCUUUGGCAAGCGUUUGGUCAAUAGUGACAAGUCUAGAUCAGAGCUGCGGAAGGUCCUCAAAAGCUUGGAGAGAGUUAGAACUUCUGCAAAGAUGUUUGUCCAAGUGAUGACACUGGAGAGCUAUAACCCCAGUCAGUCUCUUCAGUGUGUCCCAGCAAGAACCACCGGGUCCUUUUUGCAUGAAGAUGUGACUUUUGGGCGAGAAAGGGAGAUACAUGAGCUCGUGGGUCAGCUCGUGUAUAGAUCUGAUGAAUGUUCAUUGAACAAUGAGGAAAAGUUUAGGACUGAGGUGCACGCUAUUGUUGGUGUUGGGGGGAUCGGCAAGACCACUCUGGCUCUGCUGAUCUAUAAUGAUGAGCGCAUCGUGGAUUUUUUUGAUGUCAGAGUGUGGGUUAGUGUUUCCAGUAACUUCGACAAAACUAGAGUUAUCAAAGAGAUCAUAGAAAACAUAACUGAUGGUGAGAGUGCUGAAUUGGAUAAGUUUAAUUUCAGCAGGCUCCAGGAAGAACUUAAUGAGAGACUUUAUUCCAAGAGGUUUCUCUGA